GACACAUUUAUGAACCCACUCGAUCCAACCCAGAUCCACACGAGUCCUUUCCCUUCAAAAAAACCCUACCUUGCAUUUACGAAGAAUUCCCAUCGCCCUUCGACGUCGUCGGAGACUCUCCCGGUAAGUCCACUCACACACACACACACUCUCUCUCUCUCUCUCUCUCUAGGUUUAUUGCUUGGUUUACUCAUUGGCUUUCUAUCAUUCCAAAUGCUUGAUAGAAUGCCGAAGUGAAAUUCUAUACUAAUUUUGCCAAACUUGAUAUCGUAAUCAAAACUUUUUACAGAUUUACCACCAAUAUAACAACAGAUUUUGCCACCGUAUUUAUAUUCGGUGGCUGUACUAGGGACGACUCUGAAAUUUAUGGGACCUAAAGAGAACUUUUCCAACAGACCCUAGAAUCGUUAUAGGGAAAAAAAACCCUUCAGAACGAAGUAUACGAGAAUUUGAGAGCAUUAAAUACUUAAAAUCACUAAUCGUUGCGAUAUUUCAAAAAUAAUCCUUCAAAUAUUGUUCUUCUUGUAUUUUUUUUUUUUUUUUUUUGCAAAUGUACUAAUUAAACUUUCUUUAUCAAGUUUUUCCACCAUAAUCUAUUCAAUCUUUCCUGUGACAAGAUUGACCAAAGGUAGAUCUUUAUCAACUUUAACUUGGAAAAUAAUCUUUACCCUGAGGCAACGGGAGUAGUCAACGAUAUUAGGUACGUGUUCCAUACAUUUGGUAAGCAAGUACCCUUUGCCUUCAAGUAAAUGAAGCACAUCAAUGCGCUUUCUUUAGUUCUUUUGGUGAAACUCAUCUCAAGACUUUCAAUUCGGAAUGCAAAUCUCUCCCAAAUACUUGAAAGGUUAUCUUUUCAAGAAGAAUUCUUACAGAAUUGCACAAUAAGACACCGAAUUAUCUAAAUUGUUGGACCCUUUAACUCCGACGUUACUUAGAAUUGGGCCACCAAAUUUUUUAACCAGGGCCUCAAUUUUAUAUGGGCGUAUACAAUUUGGGCCCCAAAAAAUUAGUAAAAAUUUGGGGCCUAAAGGAGUGGCUUUAAGGGCUUUAGCCCACACCCGGCUCUGGGCUGGUAAAAGACGCGCUCUUCCUGUUACUGUGAGAAUGAUGGGUUAUCAUAUUGUCAAGUGCUUACUGUUUUAUGAUUUUAAGAAAGGAAAUGUAGUUUAUUGAUCGUCUAGCUUUGGACAUCAUCUGGUGUUUGUUUUGCAGGGAGAAGCAAAAUGAAAGUUAAGCUCUUACGUAUCCAUCUUAUGUUCAUUUCUUCUAAUGUGGUGUUAUGUAUCAUUUAUCUCCUGUUGUUCCCUGUCUUCUUUCUCGUGGGUGUAUAACCCCUAUUAGUAUUAGUGUUGUUGAUAGGAAAACUUAUAAUGUUCAUAACUUGAUUCGUUAAGUGACGUAUGUAGAUGGUUAAGACAAUUCAAUUAUGGACUUCCUUUUGAAAACAAGAAGCCAUUUAAAAGUGGCUUCUAAAAGAGUAUGGGGUGCAGGAAAGAGCUUCGUUUUGGAGUCAAGAGGCUUCUUGAUUUUGUGUAACAUUUAUAUCAUUCAGUUGAAAAAAUGUAUUCGAAGGUGGCAUGCUGUUGCUUCAUGGACUUGGGAUGCUCAAGAUGAAACAUGUGGAAUCUGUAGAAUGGCCUUUGAUGGUUGUUGUCCUGACUGUAAACUCCCUGGGGACAAUUGCCCACUAAUCUGGGGUGCGUGCAACCAUGCGUUUCAUCUUCAUUGCAUCUUAAAAUGGGUGACUUCACAGACACCUCAAGCACAUUGCCCUAUGUGCCGUAGGGAAUGGCAGUUCAAAGGAGAUGAUCAGACGGAUUGAGUUUCUUUUCUCAAGGAUUAUUUGCUGAAGAGGAUGAAGAAGAGAACUACUGAAUGUUGCAAGUUGGGAGAACGAUUCAUGAGAAGUAUGAAAUGUGUAAUGUUUGAUUUCAAUACAAGGGACUUAUGAGAAUUGGUUCUUCCACAUGGAACUGUUUGCUACAGUUGAACCAUUUGGGUUUUAACCACAUUAUUGUAUGGAGACUUGAUUUGUGGGUGUUGUCCGCAUCUUUUGGAGGCUGAAUCUGUUAUGUGUAACCCUUAAUCGUGUUUGUAAUGUUUCUGCAACCAUUUUUUUUUAAUGUAGAUUUUGUUUAGAAUUGUAAGAGCACGGAUGGGAUCUUUGUUGUAUUUGAUGUAGAUUAUGUUUAGAAUUUA